rnacentral:misc_RNA from 1 species
AAGUCGUAACAAGGUUUCCGUAGGUGAACCUGCGGAAGGAUCAUUAACACUUAAAAUAAAAACAAUUUCCCUUUUGAAUCCCUCUCUUUUCUUUCUCCUCUCUUCGGAGGGAGGAAGUCAAGAGAUUUUCAAAUUUAAUUUGAACAAAAAUGUGUAACCUUACUUUUUUACUUAUGGAUUUGAGGGCACAAGUGAGGGGGGGUUUUCUCUCUCUCUUUGUGGUUCUCAGAUUUUCUCAUAAACCAGUUAAACCCAAUAAAUCAAAAUAUGGCGUAUCAGAGGUCUUGUCUUUGACUUGCCCUCUCGAUCCCCCAUAGUUAAAACCAAAAACAAAAAACCAAAAAUAAAAAAACAAAAUAAAACACAACUCUUAACAAUGGAUAUCUUGGUUCUCGC